AAAAGGGUUAAUCAAAUAUUUUUCCAUAUAAUUAUAACUUUCAAUCUAACCAGGACCAAAGCCCAUUGAAUUAUACCCUUAGCUUGAUUGCAACUCCAUCAGGUUAAUAAUUCGGGUCAACACAAUCUCCUCCUUAUAUGUUUUUAUGAAAGAUCUCAACCAGAAGAGAGACAAAUUUAGAGUCUGUUUUAAGAAAAGUAUUAUUUACCUCUUACCAUAAUUUAAAUUUAUUUCAUUGUUUAUUCAAUUUCAUGGUAAAACAAGUAGUUAUCCGUUUAAGAACAUUGAUAAGUGCUGGAAAAAGAAUAUUAAAUUAUAGAUUAAUCAGCACUUAUCACACCCCCAAACCUAUGUUUUGC
rnacentral:lncRNA from 1 species